rnacentral:rRNA from 1 species
GAUGAACGCUGGCGGCGUGCCUAACACAUGCAAGUCGAGCGGUAAGGCCCUUUCGGGGGUACACGAGCGGCGAACGGGUGAGUAACACGUGGGUGACCUGCCCUCAGCUCUGGGAUAAGCCUGGGAAACCGGGUCUAAUACUGGAUAUGACUCCAUGACGCAUGUUGUGGGGUGGAAAGCCUUGUGCGGCUGAGGAUGGGCCCGCGGCCUAUCAGCUUGUUGGUGGGGNGAUGGCCUACCAAGGCGACGACGGGUAGCCGGCCUGAGAGGGCGACCGGCCACACUGGGACUGAGACACGGCCCAGACUCCUACGGGAGGCAGCAGUGGGGAAUCUUGCGCAAUGGGCGAAAGCCUGACGCAGCGACGCCGCGUGAGGGAUGACGGCCUGGUGUAAC